UACUGGCGGGCCGGAGUCCCAGCCCCGGGAAAGCGAAGGCGAGGGCUGCGGGUUCCUUUCUGCCCGCGUCGUGGAGGCGGGGUGCGGGAGCCGAGAUCCCUAACUGCGCAGCGACCCUUCCCGGAGGUGAAGGCGGGGUUCAGGUCCCUGCCCGGGAGGCGAAGGCGAGGUUCGGGUCCCUGCCUGCGAGUGGAGGCGGGGAGUCGGGAGUUCCUCUCCCGGAAGGUGAAGGCAGGAUUCAGAGUGUCGAUCCCGCGGAGUCAAGGGGGGGUUCGGGGUGCCUGCUUGCGACGUGGAGGCGGGGGCUCGGGAAUCCCUCCCCGCCCAGGGAGUUGAAGGCGGGGUUCGGGGUCCCUGCCCCAGACGCGGUGGCGGGGGCUGCCCUCUGAGCACAGUGGCAGCUGCGGGUAACGAGCGCUUCCGGCGCGUCAGCCGCUAAAUAUAAAGUGCUGAGCGCAUCUUCUCCUUUAAUCCCUUCCCUCCCCCAAACCUGCGGUAACUUCGUGUCCCUUAAAAUAAAUCCCAGCCCGCCACCAGCGCCUCAAAGCCCCGCCUGGCCUGGCGCGCCCUGAGGCCUCCUGGGCGUCCUCCGAGAGGGGCGGAGAGGGGGACCCCCCCCCGCCCCGCCGCCCGGACUAUCCCCUGCUCAGCGCUUAGCGGUCAGGCGUUGGAGCGCGCACGUGUGCGGAGGCUGGCUGUGCGUCUCUCCCCUCCUGACCCGGCCCAUCAGAUCGGGAACCAGUGCUGGGCCCUGGAAGAAGCCUGGUAGAUGCUGACCAGCGUUUUAUAAAAAUGAAACAGAAUAAAAUAGAAAAUAUCAAGGCAUCCCAUACAGUGCGUUUCGGCCGCUUACGCGUGUGAAGGUUUAAGUGGGUACCCAGUUGAAAUGUGAAAUGUGUUUCUUCUCACCAUGGGUGCCAAGCAAAGGAAUGAAGGCCCCUGGAAAGAACAACUUGAGCCACCUCGCAGCCUCGGCGUUCUGAAUCCCCUGGUCUCACAAAGGAGGACUGAGAGCCAGCCCAGGACAGCGGAGCGGUGGGCAGGACAGGUGCCUGCCUGUCACCAAACAUGCUGGUCCUGCCAGCACCCAGCCAUGCCCAGCACCAGAGCAGAAAUGGCUUUGAGAAAAGGAAAGCAGAAGAGAUGGAGAAGUCUUCAAAAUCUAUCUGCCAGGACUUACCUGUGCAUUCUAGAACUGAUUCUUGAUUCGUGGAAAAAUUGCUCUGGUGAGGAGAGCAAGGACAGGACAGCCUUGAAAUUGUCCGGCCCCACAGAGGGAGACCUCUGGGGAUCUGUGCAUCCUGCUCCUGGAAGGGAGGCAGGACUCUCCCUUGGUGCCCAGGCCUUUCCUUGGGAGUGCACCUGUCUGAGUAGCCGCCCUCCCAGGUCCCCUGAUCAUCUCCGCAGCCAUCUGGCCCGGUUGUCCCCCUGUGGGGCGGCGGCCCUCCUUGCCCCCACUUUCCAGGUCUAGAAUGUGACUUGCCCAAUGUUGCGGAUUCUGUGCCUCCCGGAUCCUGGCUCCUGGGCCACAGGCCUCUGUGUUGGAGGCGGGGAAGUACUCUUCACUAACAGGGAGUUGAUUCUGUCUUGGGAAAGAGAGUUAGAUCCGAAGCCUCUAGACCAGGAUGCAGUGCAAUUUCCAGAGACCUCCAAUAGCCUGCUAGGCUCCCUGGUGUGCUGCUGGGUCGUUUCCUGAGGACAUUAGCCACGGGGUGGGGGUUGGGGCAGAGGCUAAAAAUAUACGGGGCACACAGGCCCAGGAAUGCCAGCCCUACCAUUCAUUCCUUGGUGUCCUGCCCAGAGUGGAGGGUACUUGCAGAAGGUUUGAGAAGGUUUGAACUUAACUCCAGAGGCCAUCGGUGUGGUCUGUGCCCCAAGCUGGGGCACACCCGUCCAGCACCUCCAACCUAAACAGCUCUUCCCCGAGCCUUACACACUUGGUAAUAGCCAAGCUUCAGACUCCUGAGCUGGGAGACCCUGAGCAGUUCCGCCUUCUUCUCUCUGUUUCUCCAUUUGUCCAAUGGAGACUCCAGCUGUCCUGCCUGCACAUCUCAUCAGUGCAGGCGAGGAGCCUGGGAGACAGUGCCUGGGCCCACCCAGUGGGAGACUGGCUGUGCCAGGACCACAGAGCCAGCUGCCCAGGUUCCCACUGCAAACAUGAGCCGCUCACUAGGCGCCCACUGUGUGUAUGGAGAGAGACGUGGACCCUCAUAAGCACAGGUGGAAAUAUAUGGACACAGGACACCGCCCUGGGCUCCAUCACAGGCUGGCAGCGUCACACGGCCUGUCCCGCAGUGGGAGGGCACAUUACCACAGGAUGGCAUUGUGACUAAUGUCCCCCUGAGAAAGAAUGAGCCGCGUGACCAUUGGUUUCCCAGGUUUCACUGCUUACUAGGAGCAAAACGUAACAGGCUGCACGGCACAUCUUCAGGAGUUGCCAUGGUAACCCACAGGCUUACCCGGAGCGUCCUCGGAGGCAUGCUCCAAGUCCACUCCAUGGCUGGGCGCUCUGUGCUGGUGGGGCAGAACCACAGCCCCAAGAAUGAAGUCGUGUAAGUAAAGAAGGGGUGGCAGAGGCUGGGGGAGAGCACCCGGCCUCCCAAAGCCUGGACUCUGCUGACAGUGCUCCGUAAGCCAACCUGAGCGCCCCUUGUACACUUACUGAGACAUCCCAGCCCAGUAAAAGGCUGGAGCAUGUGGGUGAAACGAUUCUGCCAGGCACGUGGGCAUUUUCUCUUGUGUUCAGGUCUGGGGUGUUAGCCCAAUAGACCUUCCCUUCUGCUGCUGCCUUAAACACCCUGGGUGCAAAGGCUGGAUCCAUGCCCUGGCUGGCAAGAAAUCACGCACACCAGGAGGCUGGCUGUAGGUGCCCAGGUGCACGCGGGGCAGCACGUGGGCCGGGCUGGGACGGCGUCUGCACCCCAGGAAGAGGCUCCUCGGUGCGGGGCCACAUCCAGUCUUUCCAGCAGGUAACAGCGGCCGGACGGGGGAUGGUGCCUGAAGCCAUAGCCCAUGGUGCAUCCUGUUCCUACAGGCCCUCGCAGACCUGCGUGGACACGUCUUUCCAGGUUCUGGACCAGGAGAGCCACCUUUGCCUUGGGACUCCUGUGGGAUUUGGGCACAGAGUGUUUCUGCAAACAGCAUUCAGCCCACACUGCUGAACCUCAGGAGCACGAGUAGGGGGAGAGGGAGAGAG